rnacentral:rRNA from 1 species
AUUGAACGCUGGCGGCAGGCCUAACACAUGCAAGUCGAGCGAGCGGCGGACGGGUGAGUAAUGUCUGGGAAACUGCCUGAUGGAGGGGGAUAACUACUGGAAACGGUAGCUAAUACCGCAUACCAUCAGAUGUGCCCAGAUGGGAUUAGCUAGUAGGUGGGGUAACGGCUCACCUAGGCGACGAUCCCUAGCUGGUCUGAGAGGAUGACCAGCCACUGUGCAGCUGGGACGCUGUCCAGACUCCUACGGGAGACAGCAGUGGGGAUUAUUGCACAAUGAGCGCAAGCCGGAUGCGACCAUUCCGCGUGUGUGAAGAAGUCCUUCGGGUUGUAAAGCACUUUCAGCGGGGAGGCGUUACCCACAGAAGAAGCACCGGCUAACUCCGUGCCAGCCGCCGCGGUAAUAC